ensembl:lncRNA
CAGGCAGGGUCUGAUGCUGAGGGCUGGUUUCAACAUUUAAAGACAACAUGAAAUGGCUCCUAGAUAUUACUUCCUCAAAGUGGCCUUUUUCCAAGAAAAGUGCAUUUUAGGUGAAGGAAAACCAUAGGAGGAAUCUUUUUUUUUUCCAAAUGGUUUAAGGUUAGCCAGGCAUCGCCAGAUGAAUUGGUCCCAUUAGUCUGGAAGCUCUCCGUACAUCACCCACGGGGGUCAGACCAAAGCGCUUCUGGACGCAAUUGGACAGGCCUUCAUCCAAUCAGAGCACCGGAACAGGGUUUGUGUGUGUGUGUGUGUGUAGGGUUUGUGUGGUUCAGUCUGUGAGAGUUGGCAGAGACAGCAGAGGAGCAGCCUGACAGCAGAGGAGCAGCCUGACAGCAGAGGAGCAGCCUGACAGCAGAGGAGCAGCCUGACAGCAGAGGAGUUAGGCUAACCCUAACCCUAACUGAGAACAUGGCUGGCUGCAUUGGUUGGAUUAGGGUUAGGGUUAGGGUUAGG